CACAGGCAGAUAUUGUUCCCAAGGAGAUUCACUCUAUCGAUAUUAAUCCAUCAUGCCUAUAUCAGUUAGCAUUCCAUAUUGUCGAUGGUUGGUCAGGCGUUUUGGAUAUUAAUAAUUUUCAAGUUACACAUAUACAUUGCCCACCCCCUUUUUGGUUAAACGAUACCUAUGUUCACCCUGAUCUAUCAUAUACAGCAAAACCUGCAUGGUUAUCAACGUGUUUGGUAAGAAAUUUUAUUGAAUAUAAUGCACCUACUUUACUUUUUCACAUGAUUCCCAACAAAACUUUUACCUCUAGUCAUAUUGGCUAGCUUAUACUUUUAAUCAGUUUCUACCUCUAAUAUAGUACCUGUGACAAAUCUGGUGGCAGUUUGGGUGUUUAGAUUGAAUUAACUAUAGAGCGAUUAUAUCAUUCACAAAAAAAUACAAUUAAUAGUCUAUUUCUGUUGUGCACAUUCACGAUUUGAGAUUAUAUAAGUAAGGACUUAAGGGCUGAAUCUUGAUGUAAUCCUAUCCCUUUAAGUCUCUUGGUCUCGACUCCUGAAGAGAGUUUCAAACCCGAAUGAGUGAAAAAUAUAAGGAUUAUUGGUACCAAUACUUUUACAAUAUGUCAAAACCUCAAUAAAAAAAUAUAGUGACCAAUAUAAAAAGAAAAAUACAG